AAACAUGUCUUUUUGAAUCAUAUUUAAAGUCUAACCUGCCCACUGAAUUAUUUUGAAUGGCCGCAGUAUUUUGACUGUGCAAAGGUAGCAUAAUCAUUAGUCUUUUAAUUGGAGGCUGGAAUGAACGGUUGGACGAGGUAUAAGCUGUUUCAUAUAAAUUUAUUUUAGAAUUUUAUAUUUUAGUUAAAAAGCUAAAAUUUUAUUAAAAGACGAGAAGACCCUAUAAAUCUUUAUAUUUAGUAAUAUUUAAAUUUUUUGGAUUUAUUUGAUUUUUAUACUAUUAAGUAUUUUGUUGGGGUGAUGUUAAAAUUUAAUGAACUUUUAAUUAAAUAAAUCAUUAAUUUAUGAUUUGUUGAUCCUUUAAUAUUGAUUAUAAGAUUAAGUUACUUUAGGGAUAACAGCGUAAUUUUUUUUGAGAGUUCAUAUCGACAAAAAAGUUUGCGACCUCGAUGUUGGAUUAAGGUAUAGGUUUGGGUGUAGUUGUUCAAAUACUAAGUCUGUUCGACUUUUAAAUUCUUACAUGAUC
rnacentral:rRNA from 1 species